ensembl:lncRNA novel transcript, antisense to NOL4L
GAAGAGGCCAAUGGCUGCCCCAGAAUUCCCAGCAGGAUUUGUUCCUCUUGGAUCAGUGAAAAGGAAAAUGGAAAUAUAAAAAUAAUAACUGGGCCCCAGGAAAGAACUUGGAGAUGGGGGUGGCAUCUCCUGCCUGGCUCCGGCUGGCUGGGCGAGUGGCAGGCCAUUUCCUCCAUGAAGCCUGCCCUGACCACACCAGCCCUGAGUUACAUGCCUCAGCCUCAGAACCGCCGGGGGCCUGGGCUGGGAAAGUGCCCAUCCUCCUCUCAAGUCCGCGGCACUCGCCAUCCACCAAGAUGGGCUGCUGCUUUUACCUGCAUAGCAACUUUCUUCUCCUGGUAACAGCAUCUUGAAAUCCCUUUGAGAAACC